GAAUCAGGGUGCUGGCCAUCCACUGAGCCUGGCCCUGGGGUAUGUGGCAGGGGCAGGACGGGCUCAGGUCUGGGUACCACCCCCCUCCAACCCCAGGUCGCAGGGGUGUGGAAGGUAUUCUGCUAGGUAGUGACUCCCUUCAUAGGGCUAGACCUGCUGGGGCCUGAAGCUGGUUAUGAAGAGAAAUCUAAAACAGGUUUGUGGGUGAGUCAGUAGCUGGGAGCACACAAAGAAACAGGCCUCUUGGAGGUCUUCCCUCAGCAUCUGCAGACGGGGUGGCUGCCCACGCCUGCUUGCUGGAUGGCCAGGACCACAGUGACCCAAGGACUAGCCGGAGCAGUUGCACGCGAGAGGGGUGGGGUUCGUCCUAAGAGGCCUUUGUCACUGAAGCGGAUGUCGGAGAUGACUUGGGUUUUCUCUGCAAGUGAAAAACCUCUGCUUGUGAGAAUGAACAGGAAGGAGGGUCUCCUUAGGGCCACAGCGGCCCCUGCCCACCGUGGACUGCAGCAGAUGGAGGCUCCGGGCACCUGGAAUCAGAGGGAAACCCGCACAGGACACCUUCCAGCAAGAGAGAGGAGACAACCAGAUCUCAGCCUGGAACAGAGCAGGCCUGUCGCCCCUCUAUCCUCCCUGCCGCAGAAUUGGGGGGUGGCUGUGGAGGAAGAACUAUACCCCCCUUUCAAUGGCUAAGUCAGAGGUCUCUCUUGGUAACAGUCACAUCGCACUUGAAAAUAUGUGGGUUAUUUUCAAAUAUCUUUUGAUAUUAAUUUCUAAUAUAAUUUCACCGUGAUAAGAGAACAGACUGUAUGAUUUCAUCACCUUUAGACCAGGAAAUUUUUGCACCUUGUUUUACGCCCCUGGAUAUGUUCCAGUGUCUCCUGAUUUAUAGUCUAUGGGAACUUGAAUAGAAUUUGUAUCCUGCUGUUGUGUGAAAAUUGUAUAGAUCUUUAUUGUAUUGAAUUGGUUCAUGGUGCUUUUCAGAUCUAACUAUAUGCUUCUACUUCUCUGUCUUUUCUUUCUAUUAAUUUUUUGUGAGUCUGAUAUUGAAACUCCAGUUAAAAAUCUUGAUUUAUUUACUUAAAAAAUAAUUGUAAUAUGUAGUGGAACUAUAUGUGACUUUGUUCUGUAUUUUCCAAGUUUCCUGUAAAUGUUAUCAUACUUUCAUAAUUUAAAAAAGAAGAAAAAAGAAACGUGCCCCUGAGAUGGGCAUAAUGUGUACACAGGAGAUCCCCAGAGAGACCAGAGACACCUCCCUGGGCAGACAUGCUAGCA
ensembl:lncRNA